rnacentral:lncRNA from 1 species
ACACAGGGUUGUAAAUUGUGCUCCUUCUUUAAAGCUGCUGCAUGAGCAUGCUUAUAGAAGACUCACUGACUUACUCUGCUUGUUUUUUGUAUGAGUCCGUUCCAGAGGACUAACCUUAGAAUCAAGUGUAUUUUGAAUCUUAAGCUUUGAAUUUCCUUUUUAUACAACAAAGUGUGUAAUGUUACAAAUUAAGAAAAAUCUGUUACCUUUCAACAAAAAAAUAAUUUCAAAAUCAAGUUUUGUAAUCUGUUGGAAGAAAACCAGAUAAUAGCUUGACUUCCUUUGAGGAUAAUUUUUGAGCCCACAUACGUAUGAUCUGCUUAAAAGUAAUAACUGAAGCAGAGUUCCCCAGUUCCUCCUUAUUUCAGGUUUCAGAUUUAUCCCAGCAUGCUAUAGUCUGCCUGUCUAGGUCCUAGUCUUGGGUAUUUUUCACAAUGGACGAAAGUCAAGACAUUGUCUACUUGCCUGAGCAUCUUUCAUAAAGGAUAGUUCUGCUUACAGGUUCAAGGGAAUUGAAGAUUAUAUUUCAGAUUCAGUGUUUUAAAGGAAACAACUUCAUUUGCAUCCGAAGUUUUGUUGCAUUUUGAUAACUAUUCAGAAGAAAUUAGUAGCUGGUUUUUGGUGCCAAAUUUGGAGGAGCAGAGUAUGAUCUUUGUUGAGUGGUGUGUUCUUGAUAAAUAGGCCUUGAAUUCUAUAGAAAUCAAGCAUAAUUGGAAAUUUCAGGUGACAUUGUUUUGCUGGGCUGUACAGACAGGCUGCAAAAAAGACCUGUUUUGGCAACAAAAUGACCAAAAGCUGAAAUAAAGAUUCUUAAUUGGUGAUGUUUAUGGCAUCCUUUGCUAAGUGCAGCUCAACACCUUGGACAGGUAAUUAAACUAUUUCUGAAUCCCAAAUGGAUGAAUCUGAGAUAUCGCUGCAUUUUGGAACCAGAAGUACAGUCUAGACCACAGCACAGCAAGUUUUGAUGCUCCAAGUACAGGAGCAGAGUUAUCACAGAAGUCGUCUAGAGUCGAACAAAUCACAGUGUUGAGCAAGGAAGCCAGGUGAGCACUGUCAUGGCUGGUGUGAUGGGUUCCCCACUUUGGCUUAAGGCAAAGUCUCCUGGUGAUGCAUGAUUCGUGUCAAGUCUUUGCUUUAUUUUGGCUUUUACUACAUGAUUCUGAGCCACAAGCUUUUGUUUCCUGGGGAUCAGGCUAGGUAAAAAUCUCAGUGUUAGAAUCCGUAUUCAGCAUUCUAUAUUUGGUGAACCUUACCUUGAACUGGGAUGAGAGCAGAGUGACGUUCUCCGGCAGCUGUGGCUACAUUCUAUUUGGGGCAUAGUUUAUAGACUGUAUCAUGGUCCGUAUGAUGGUGGGAGGGGUGGUGGAAGCAGAUUGCUCUUACUGUCAGCUGCUUCCUUGGUUACUGCCCAUUUUAGUUGUCAGUAUUUCCUUAUCUCCUGAUCUCCCACUCUAGUCGUGACAGUGAGUGGAGUGACCAACAUGACAGCAUUCGGGUUGGGUUUCUACCCCAUUAGAAAACUGGCACAGAGUGG